GCCUUCGUGGUGUAGUGGUCAGUACGCUCGACGCGUAACCGAGAGGUCCGUGGUUCGAUUCUCGGCGAAGGCA
rnacentral:tRNA from 1 species